rnacentral:rRNA from 1 species
AUUGAACGCUGGCGGCAGGCCUAACACAUGCAAGUCGAAUGGUAACAGGAAACAGCUUGCUGUUUCGCUGACGAGUGGCGGACGGGUGAGUAAUGUCUGGGAAACUGCCUGCGGGUGGGGGAUAACUACUGGAAACGGUAGCUAAUACCGCAUAACGUCGCAAGACCAAAGAGGGGGACCUUAGGGCCUCUUGCCAUCGGCUGUGCCAAGAUGGGAUUAGCUAGUAGGUGGGGAAACGGCACACCUAGGCGACGAUCCCUGGCUGGUCUGAGAGGAUGACCAGCCACACUGGAACUGAGACACGGUCCAGACUCCUACGGGAGGCAGCAGUGGGGAAUAUUGCACAAUGGGCGCAAGCCUGAUGCAGCCAUGCCGCGUGUAUGAAGAAGGCCUUCGGGUUGUAAAGUACUUUCAGCGGGGAGGAAGGGAGUAAAGUUAAUACCUUUGCUCAUUGACGUUACCCGCAGAAGAAGCACCGGCUAACUCCGUGCCAGCAGCCGCCGCAG